CGCACGCGUGACCGUAAGUUGCUUUGGAUAAAAGUGUCUGCUAAAUGGCAUAUA
rfam:Salmo salar isolate Sally breed double haploid chromosome ssa19, whole genome shotgun sequence.